CUCUUUACGCAGUAUUGUCGCCUGACAAAGACGUUCCAAGUGAAGACGUUAUUACAGCAGAUGGCUGGAACACCACAUUACCAUUGUUAACGGCUAAUAAGUCUAUGCCAGGACCUCCAAUUUUUCUUUACCAAAACCAGACAAUAACGAUCAUUGUCCAGAAUAAUUUGAUAAACGAAGCCGUCACAAUCCACUGGCAUGGAAUAGACCAACUGGGAUGGCCAGCAAUGGACGGUGUGGCAUUUGUUACCCAAUGUCCGAUUUUACCUGGGCAAUUCUUCAACUAUACGUUUUUCCCUCGUUUCAGUUGUACUUAUUGGUAUCAUUCCGAAGUCGGAAAUCAACGAGAUAUUUUUUUAGGGCGUUUAUUGUCCUAAAACAAGAGGGAGAAGUUCCAAUCAUAAACCAGCACAUUGUCCAAUUGCAAGAAUGGAACCACGAGAUCGGGCUAAUUACGUUACUGAAAGCAAAUUUGAAAAACACGUCUAGUUCCUUCGAAUCUAUUCUGAUUAACAGAAAGGGCGAAUUUGAAAAUAACAAGGCGCCGCUUGAGAUCUUUCAUUUAGAUAAAAGUGACAACCAUUUGUUUCGGAUGAUAGGAGUUGGAUCAGCAGAUGUGCUUCUAUUCUCAGUUCCCGGAAUACCUCUUAUUGUUAAAGAAACUGACGGAUAUCCAUUCGUUCCUCAGACAGUUGAUGAAAUAAUAAUUUAUCCGGCAGAGCGAUACGACUUUGAACUUGACUUGGCAAAUGCUACAGAAGGGGUUUACAACAUGACUGUACAUAUUUUAACAGGAAAAUACCUUGAGACACGACAAAAUAAAUUUGCAUUGGGUUUGAUAAACAUUACCAAUGCAUUUUCACUUCCAGUUAAUUCAUCGACUUCUAAAAGCGAUAUGAAAACUAUUCUGAAUUGCCCAUUCGAAGUCUUCCCGAUAGACGCCAAAAUCAAAUGCACACCAGUUUCCUUUUUGAAAUCUCGACCCACCUUUAGACUAGAGUUUGAUAUAUUACCUCCCACUCAGGAAACGUUUACUCACUUUUUAAAUUUUGGGUUUCCUACAGAUAAAAAAUAUAGUUCUAUAAAUGGUCGGAAGUUUAUUUGGCCAACUGUAUCGGCUCUUACGCAACCUUCAGAACUCGACACUUCGUGUGCAAAUUUGAACGUUGCCCUUAAUAAACCUGCAUACCAGGAGUACCCAUACCGUCAAUACAAACUAGAUUCUCGGUAUCGGGAAGUGGUAUCAGGCUUUAUUCUUGGAUUCUCCGUGUAUGUCUCCAAUUCCCCAUUUCAAGAACAGGGGCAAGUCGUCAGUCUCCACAGAUUUCCAAGCGAUGCAGAUAAACGUAGAAUAUGGCUGCAGCGAGCAAGGUUAGUGCGCAAGGACUUCACCUACACCAAGAAUUCGUACGUGUGUUCUUCACAUUUCGUGAAUGGUAGCGGCCCCUCUGCAACCCAUCCUUUGCCGUCGAUAUUUCCGAACAAGGUGUUCAAAACUUCGGCACCCUCAACCACAAAUGCCCCAGCUGUUCCCUUUUCUCAUGAGCCAGGUGUGCAGGACAAUCAGCUUCCUGAGAGUGAGGAUAACCAGGAUAGCCUUGAACAAACAGAUCACGACUAUCAUAAAGACUGGACAACAUGUGCUGGUGAAGUUCCAAAAAAUAAGGAAACUCAGACUAUUUUGUUAACUGUAGAUUCAUCAACACAGACUGAUGAAUCCUUUUUUAACAGCAUGGCCAUGAAAAAGUGUGUUUCCUCCUCUGCAGAAACACAGACUGAUGGAAAGCUUUUCAUUGAUAAAGGGAUUCAAGUUUCUAGACCUGUGUUCACCUUUGAAGAUGUAGAACAGGAUGACUCCAAAAUUUUAUUCUACACAGGAUGUCCAGCAACAGGGUUUUACGGAUCUAACUGCUCCAUUCCAUGUCCAGACGUUAACUGUCAGUACUGUCACAUAGAAACGGGCACCUGCCAGGGAUGUACGCCUGGGUACCAAGGUCAUCACUGUGAAUUAGGGGAGUUGUACUGUCUAACAUGUUCUGAGGUGGUGUCGCCUAGACAUUGUAAAGCCAUCCGCCGAUGUAGUGAAGGACAGGUAUGCUUCACUGAAGAAUACACAAGCAUAACAGGUGAAACGUUAUACAACGUUGGAUGCCAAAGUUCAUUGCGAUGCCAAUCAAACGUAAGGAAUCCAUUUUUAGAAAGAUUUAUAGGAUCACAGAAAUACGUGUAUAGUCCUGAUACCAGAGUAUGCUCUGAAUGUUGUUCUUCAGAUGGGUGUAACAGGAACGGCUGUGGGACAUUAGAUUAUCCGGAAAUAAGAGGACCUACAUGCUCGAAAUUCUAAGUUAUGUAGAUCAAUAGCCGUAUGUAAACAGUGGGAGGUAUGUCAAACGUACAUGAAUACAGAGUUUGGGGACAAGAUCUUCACAUUGGCUUGUGCUCCCGAGUUUGUAUGUUCCACGGAAUAUUCAAAGUCCAAUACGUGCAACCAAUGUUGUAAAACAGAUUCCUGCAUCAAAAAUUUAUGCAACUAUUCCAAACGUCCAUAUGGUUUUUAAGUUGUAUUGGAAUCGACCCAUGGCCCUGGGAUUCUUGAUUUAAAAACUGUUGUAACCAAUGUUGGAGAUGGUUUUAAUCCAGAAACAGGUUUUUUUCACAACACGUACAAACGGAACAUUUGUUUUUACCUGGAAUAUUGAAUCUUUUAACGAAUCUGUUCUCGUUGCAUUAGAGGUGAAUGGUGAAGAAAAAUCAUCAACACUUACAAAACAAAUGUAUUUAUCAAGCUACAGUGGAAGUUCGUUUGCCAUCCUCAACCUUAAAGAAAAUGAUAAUGUGUAUUUGAAGUUAUUAAAUGGAACACUACAGAAAACAUUUACAGUGUUUAAUGGCUGGAAGCAAAAUACAGAAUACUUACCUGCAUUUUACGCCAUUUGUCCAACGUCAAACUGUUCAGACGAUUUACACAUUGUUACAAAUAAUGGAGUUUAUGACGAAAUUUCUAACACCGUUUCAUUCAAAGACGAUUUCUACCUUUCUUGUGAAACCCGAGACGAUCAUCUGCAAUCAUCCGUUCCAAUAUGAUUAAACAGUACUCAAGUCAAUGUAUCUGAUGUAGGACAAUUCAAUGCAUUUGGUUAAGUGAAGUUCGCCCAACAUGACAACCCAUGCAAUGACAUCAGAAAAGAAAAUAAUUUGACUAAGACGUUCUCAGAAGAAAAGCUUGGAACGACUAGUUCUUGUGUGGAUAACACAAUUCAUCUAGAUCUCGAUAGCAGCGAUGAUCAGAUAUACACCGUUGACAAAAGCGGCAUGUUUGCUUUUACUUUCUACAUAUUAUCCUAUACGGCUGACGCACCUUUUUCACUUAAUGUUAACAAUGUUGAAAUCCUUCAAAUCGCAACAAGAGGAAAUGUACACGUUUGGAAUUCCAGAUAUAAUACAGUGUAUGCAAUUCUGAAGUUGAAUGCAGAAGACAAACUGGUUUUCAAAAAAAUAGCAGGCAGUUUUCAAGAUGUUCGGUUGGCUAGCUGG
rnacentral:sRNA from 1 species